UACGGGAGGAGCAGUGGGGAAUAUUGCACAAUGGGCGCAAGCCUGAUGCAGCCAUGCCGCGUGUAUGAAGAAGGCCUUCGGGUUGUAAAGUACUUUCAGUCGUGAGGAAGGUGUUAAGGUUAAUAACCUUAGCAAUUGACGUUAGCGACAGAAGAAGCACCGGCUAACUCCGUGCCAGCAGCCGCGGUAAUACGGAGGGUGCGAGCGUUAAUCGGAAUUACUGGGCGUAAAGGGCACGCAGGCGGUUAAUUAAGUUGGAUGUGAAAUCCCCGGGCUUAACCUGGGAAUGGCAUUCAAGACUGGUUAGCUAGAGUCUUGUAGAGGGGGUAGAAUUCCAUGUGUAGCGGUGAAAUGCGUAGAGAUGUGGAGGAAUACCGGUGGCGAAGGCGGCCCCUGGACAAAGGCUGACGCUCAUGUGCGAAAGCGUGGGGAGCAAACAGGGAUUAGAUACC
rnacentral:rRNA from 1 species